AUUGAACGCUGGCGGCAGGCCUAACACAUGCAAGUCGAAUGGUAACAGGAAACAGCUUGCUGUUUCGCUGACGAGUGGCGGACGGGUGAGUAAUGUCUGGGAAACUGCCUGAUGGAGGGGGAUAACUACUGGAAACGGUAGCUAAUACCGCAUAACGUCGCAAGACCAAAGAGGGGGACCUUCGGGCCUCUUGCCAUCAGAUGUGCCAGAUGGGAUUAGCUGGUAGGUGGGGUAACGGCUCACCUAGGCGACGAUCCCUAGCUGGUCUGAGAGGAUGACCAGCCACACUGGAACUGAGACACGGUCCAGACUCCUACGGGAGGCAGCAGUGGGAAUAUUGCACAAUGGGCGCAAGCCUGAUGCAGCCAUGCCGCGUGUAUGAAGAAGGCCUU
rnacentral:rRNA from 1 species